rnacentral:rRNA from 1 species
AGCUCCAAUAGCGUAUAUUAAAGUUGUUGCGGUUAAAAAGCUCGUAGUUGGAUCUCAACGGGCAGGGGUCGGUUCGAUGAUUGUCGCUACUGGCCCAUUUGUCCGUGAUUUUGGCGGAGGUCUCAGGGUGCUCUUCACCGAGUGUCCUGCGAUGCCGCCAGGUUUACUUUGAAAAAAUUAGAGUGCUCAAAGCAGGCCUUGCGCGCCUGAAUAUUCGUGCAUGGAAUAAUGGAAUAGGACGUCGUUUCUAUUUUGUUGGUUUUCGGAAAUUGACGUAAUGAUUAAUAGGGACAGUCGGGGGCAUUAGUAUUCAGACGACAGAGGUGAAAUUCUUAGACCGUCUGAAGACUAACUACUGCGAAAGCAUUUGCCAAGAAUGUUUUCA